GACGAACGCUGGCGGCGUGCUUAACACAUGCAAGUCGAACGGAAAGGCCCUGCUUUUGUGGGGUGCUCGAUUGGCGAACGGGUGAGUAACACGUGAGUAACCUGCCCUUUACUUUGGGAUAACUUCAGGAAACUGGGGCUAAUACCGGAUAGGAGCUCCUGCUGCAUGGUGGGGGUUGGAAAGUUUCGGCGGUUGGGGAUGGACUCGCGGCUUAUCAGCUUGUUGGUGGGGUAGUGGCUUACCAAGGCUUUGACGGGUAGCCGGCCUGAGAGGGUGACCGGCCACAUUGGGCCUGAGAUACGGCCCAGAAUCCUACGGGCGGCAGCAGUGGGGAAUAUUGCACAAUGGGCGGAAGCCUGAUGCAGCAACGCCGCGUGCGGGAUGAAGGCCUUCGGGUUGUAAACCGCUUUAGCAUGUGACGAAGCGUGAGUGACGGUAAUGGGUAAAGAAGCAACGGCUAACUACGUG
rnacentral:rRNA from 1 species